AAGAGUUUGAUCAUGGCUCAGAUUGAACGCUGGCGGCAGGCCUAACACAUGCAAGUCGAGCGGUAGCACAGAAGAGCUUGCUCUUUGGGUGACGAGCGGCGGACGGGUGAGUAAUGUCUGGGAAACUGCCUGAUGGAGGGGGAUAACUACUGGAAACGGUAGCUAAUACCGCAUAACCUCGCAAGAGCAAAGAGGGGGACCUUCGGGCCUCUCGCCAUCAGAUGUGCCCAGAUGGGAUUAGCUAGUAGGUGAGGUAAUGGCUCACCUAGGCGACGAUCCCUAGCUGGUCUGAGAGGAUGACCAGCCACACUGGAACUGAGACACGGUCCAGACUCCUACGGGAGGCAGCAGUGGGGAAUAUUGCACAAUGGGCGCAAGCCUGAUGCAGCCAUGCCGCGUGUGUGAAGAAGGCCUUCGGGUUGUAAAGCACUUUCAGCGAGGAGGAAGGCGGUGAGGUUAAUAACCUCAUCGAUUGACGUUACUCGCAGAAGAAGCACCGGCUAACUCCGUGCCAGCAGCCGCGGUAAUACGGAGGGUGCAAGCGUUAAUCGGAAUGACUGGGCGUAAAGCGCACGCAGGCGGUCUGUUAAGUUGGAUGUGAAAUCCCCGGGCUUAACCUGGGAACUGCAUUCAAAACUGACAGGCUAGAGUCUUGUAGAGGGGGGUAGAAUUCCAGGUGUAGCGGUGAAAUGCGUAGAGAUCUGGAGGAAUACCGGUGGCGAAGGCGGCCCCCUGGACAAAGACUGACGCUCAGGUGCGAAAGCGUGGGGAGCAAACAGGAUUAGAUACCCUGGUAGUCCACGCUGUAAACGAUGUCGAUUUGGAGGUUGUGCCCUUGAGGCGUGGCUUCCGGAGCUAACGCGUUAAAUCGACCGCCUGGGGAGUACGGCCGCAAGGUUAAAACUCAAAUGAAUUGACGGGGGCCCGCACAAGCGGUGGAGCAUGUGGUUUAAUUCGAUGCAACGCGAAGAACCUUACCUACUCUUGACAUCCAGAGAAUUUGCUAGAGAUACCUUAGUGCCUUCGGGAACUCUGAGACAGGUGCUGCAUGGCUGUCGUCAGCUCGUGUUGUGAAAUGUUGGGUUAAGUCCCGCAACGAGCGCAACCCUUAUCCUUUGUUGCCAGCGAUUCGGUCGGGAACUCAAAGGAGACUGCCGGUGAUAAACCGGAGGAAGGUGGGGAUGACGUCAAGUCAUCAUGGCCCUUACGAGUAGGGCUACACACGUGCUACAAUGGCGUAUACAAAGAGAAGCGACCUCGCGAGAGCAAGCGGACCUCAUAAAGUACGUCGUAGUCCGGAUUGGAGUCUGCAACUCGACUCCAUGAAGUCGGAAUCGCUAGUAAUCGUAGAUCAGAAUGCUACGGUGAAUACGUUCCCGGGCCUUGUACACACCGCCCGUCACACCAUGGGAGUGGGUUGCAAAAGAAGUAGGUAGCUUAACCUUCGGGAGGGCGCUUACCACUUUGUGAUUCAUGACUGGGGUGAAGUCGUAACAAGGUAACCGUAGGGGAACCUGCGGUUGGAUCACCUCCUUA
rnacentral:rRNA from 1 species